ACCCUCGUAGAUGAAAUAGUAUAUCACCCAUUACACAUUCCCACCCCAUGUGGCUACGUAAUUAAGUGGGAGAUGGAGGUUCGAAUCCUCCCGAGGGUA